UUUGGUCAGAAAAUUUUCUUACAGCAAUGAAGAAAAAAAGAAAGCCCAAACAGAAGUGGCUUGCCAAAGAAUUUGAAACUUUAACCACUUGAGUCAAUCAAGAAUUUAUUCAGAACUAGAAGAGUUCAAGAAUUUUCCAGCUCGAUAUCAGGAGAAUCACCAACUUCAGCUGAAACACUUCUAGGAGCUACGUGCUUAUCACCUUUUGAACGGCAACUUCGAACACAGGUAGUCCUGUCUGCACUAUGUGUACACUGUGAGUCUCCAAGGCAACACCACACACAAGAGACCAACUAAUGCCUUCUGUUGUGAGGCUCCCUGGGAUUUUCAGCUGUUAUUUUGAGAUCUGGCUGCCAAGACUGGAAUUCCUUUCCUGUGGACCAUUCCUCCAGAAUAAGCAUGCUUGGAGACAUAUGUAGGAGAGGAUGACCUUAUUGCUAAGACCCUAAAAAUGAGGCCUUCAGUAUCUCAAGCAAGAAAAACUCUCCCUUCUUAUGUUAUAAAAGCCCAGGAGAGCAGUACUAAGUUUGGAGGAAGAAGAUGUGCACCAAUGGAAGGUAAGUCAGGAAAAGUGGCAUAAAAUUGUAUGUGAGGCCAAUACAUUUCCUCCCCUAGAAUUCACUCUGUAAGGCUUAGUCUGAAACUCAGAAUUGUUUUGAAAACAAUUUUCUAAAUCUUAUAAUUA